GGUGCUCCUUCUUCGUCGACACCGAUUGUGAGCCUGGUGUUCAACUCCAUCACGCCGCAAUCCCUUGCGGGUACUGGAACCCUCUCAUCAAAGGUGUGCUAGCUUGUAUCGGCAUGGAGGAUGUGUCACUGGCAUCCGCUCGUUAGGCCUCGAGACCGGGACCGGCUACAGCGCUACCUUGACGCGUUGAUGGUGGCCGCCCGACGGCUCUCCUCUACCUCGCUUGCUACUUAGCUUGUCCCUGUGAUGGCUUUUUUUGUUUCUUCUCCUUUCUCGGGCUGAAUUGUGCUGUUGCCCCAGCGGACCCUCUUUUUUAUUUCUUUGUUGGGAUAUGAUGUAUGGAUUCUGGUCUAUGUGCUUAUAUAUAAAGCGGGGCGAAAGCCUGUUUCGAGAUUGGGGGCUUUAGUUGCUAAGUCCCUUAAUGUGCUUAGCACCUUAUCUUA